GUUCGCCUCCGUAAACGUGGAGAUACGUCCCGUCGAGAUGCAGUGGAAGCUGGAUUCGAACCGAGAGAUACUGUUCCACGAUGUCAUUCAACACAGUCGUUGAGAGAUGUUCAACGUGUUCGAUCAUACAACAAUUCACAGUUUCAGGUAAUAUAUUAAAUUUUAUUCCGAAGUUACUUCUUCUGGGUCCAAAAAAUAAUUAUUAACCAAAAAACAUUUAAAAAAAUGGUUUUGAUUUUGGGUCAAAGUACGAUAAAUUAAAAUUUUCAAAAAACCAAAAAAUGUAAUGGUUGAAUUUAUUUUUGUAAAACCAUGAAAAGUGCAAUUUGUCUCCGUUUUGUUUUGAGAUCUAAAAACAAAAAAAAAACAAUUUCUCACCGAAAUACUAACAAAAAAAAACAAAAAUCCGAAAAAAAAAUCCCAGCCCUGAUAUGUAUUUUACGGACACAUUUUGUUGAAAUGCAGUAAAUUCGAUGCGAAUCUCGAAAAAAAAUGUGGAUAUUGAUUUUUGAAAAUAAUUUUUCUGGCCUUAUUUAUCGCUGAUUCUGUUAUUUUCGAAUUCUUGUUGGACGGAAAGAUAUCUCGAGAGAUCAUGUGUUUACAGCAUUUUAACUAUGGGAUUUACGAAAAAAAAAACAAUUUUGAGCCAACUUCCUAUUUAUUUUUCAAGCAUUUCAAUUUAGAUUUGACCUUUCAAAUUUUUGCCGAAAUUUACUUCAAAAAAUAACCUAAUUGUUUUUUUCCUACGUUGUGAAUGAUGAGUAGCAAAACCCGUUAGAUGUCGGGCCAUGCGUAACGAGUCAUAGGAAUGCCGAUCAAAAACAUUCUCUCAUCGUUUUUUUUCUUUUUUAUUUCUAAAAAACCAAAAAUCUAUUUUUCAAAAAAUACCAAAACAAUCAAAAGAGAAUGUUUAAAAAUAAAUUUGUUCUUUUAUUUUGAAUCUUCAGCAAUUUUACAUUUAUCAAGUUCAAAAUUUUAUUUAUAAAACCCAAAAACUAUUUCCUAUUGUAUUGAUUUUUCAAAUAGAAGUAGUGAAUAUAUUUUUCUCCCAAUUCAUAAAAAUGUGAAGACUUGGAUAUUUGAUUCUGAAAAUUUAAUCUUUACAAUAAUUCGACAGUUUGUUGCUUGCUGAAUGUUUCCCGCCCUCUUGUUUUGAGUAAAAAAUAUAAAUUGAAUGUUCUCAGGCCAGUGAUCUUUCACUCAAUCCAAAUGGAAGUAUUCGUGCUGCUUGUGACAGUACAAGUGGAUCUGUCGCCCCAACAGCAGUUGUAAAUCCUGCCCGGAAUCAUGUCAUUUCACAUCGACAACAACAUCAUACAAGCUACGAGAAGGAUCUUAUUCCCCAUCAUAACAUUGAUGUGGAUCGUCGCCGUAGUUUGCAAGCUCUCAAUGGCUGUAAGUUUUCAUUUUUUAUAUCAAUUUGUUGUAGGAUACUGUGAGCGCCGACAGUUUAGUGAUAAAGUUGAGUUUUCUCUGAGUGGACGAAACGAAACGAAAUAGAAACAUUGAGCAAGACCACAGAUAGUGAGGAAAACUGGAGGUUUUGUGUGAAUCGCGACCACCGAUUGAAUUGAAUUGAAGUGAGCACACACACACACACCCAGCACACGUACAAACAUACAGACCCGUUGACGGCACACGUCCGUAUAUUUCCAUCUCUGUCGUUUUGGUGUGGUUUAUCAGCUUAUUUGACUAUCACCUAUUCUAGAGAAAGUGAGAAAAGAAAGAGUUUUGUUUGUGUGUUGAAAUUGAGUGAGUGAGGGUAUGCACUAGAUUUCAAGUACUCACUAUCUUCCUGCUCCUUCCAACUUCAUUUUCGUUUUACGUGUGGCUAUCACAAGUAACGGAGUGUCACGAUGCAAUCAAUUAGAGAACCGCGAAGUGUCGAGCUUAGAGAAAGCAAUAAAUUUAUGCGAUCAAUUUCACAUGGUCGUGCGAGUACCUGGCGACGAAAUCGAAUUAGACCGGACAAUCAGCUUUCAGCAUCUGCUCUCUAUCAACUAAAUAAUGGCGGUUCACCGAAUGGAGUGAGAUCUCAAUUUUCACCUUCGGAUCUUUCUAUCCAUACACCAGUUCAUCAUGUUGGAAGUCGAGUUCGAGUGUCCAGUGUCAACCAGAUUUGCGAUUCGAACAGUGCUCCACAAUUCAGUAUCGA
rnacentral:sRNA from 1 species